GACGAACGCUGGCGGCGUGCUUAACACAUGCAAGUCGAACGGAAAGGCCCUGCUUUUGUGGGGUGCUCGAGUGGCGAACGGGUGAGUAACACGUGAGUAACCUGCCCUUGACUUUGGGAUAACUUCAGGAAACUGGGGCUAAUACCGGAUAGGAGCUCCUGCUGCAUGGUGGGGGUUGGAAAGUUUCGGCGGUUGGGGAUGGACUCGCGGCUUAUCAGCUUGUUGGUGGGGUAGUGGCUUACCAAGGCUUUGACGGGUAGCCGGCCUGAGAGGGUGACCGGCCACAUUGGGACUGAGAUACGGCCCAGACUCCUACGGGAGGCAGCAGUGGGGAAUAUUGCACAAUGGGCGGAAGCCUGAUGCAGCAACGCCGCGUGCGGGAUGACGGCCUUCGGGUUGUAAACCGCUUUCGCCUGUGACGAAGCGUGAGCGACGGUAAUGGGUGAAGAAGCACCGGCUAACUACGUG
rnacentral:rRNA from 1 species